UACUGCCCUGCAAAGAGUCGCCGACUGUGGCGGCCUGUUCAGAACGAACUAGCAGGGUAGUUUUCA
rnacentral:sRNA from 12 species